rnacentral:lncRNA from 1 species
GGUAGGGUUUUAGUAGUGUAAUGAUAUCACACAGCUGAGCAGAGUUCGCAGAAGUGCUUUUCAGGCAGUAUUAAGGGAUUGGACUUUUUCUUGAAGGCAAUUAGAAACUAUCACAAGGUUCCAAAAUGCUAAGUAGCAACAUUCACAUUUCCUUUAAGAAGAAAAGGGAUCCCCGGGCUGGUGAGAUGGCUCAGUGGGUAAGAGCACCCGACUGCUCUUCCGAAGGUCCAGAGUUCAAAUCCCAGCAACCACAUGGUGGCUCACAACCAUCUGUAACAAGAUCUGACGCCCUCUUCUGGAGUGUCUGAAGACAGCUAUAGUGUACUUACAUAUAAUAAAUAAAAAUAAAUCUUUAAAAAAAAAAAAAAAGAAAAGAAAAGGGAUCCCCAUAAGAACGCCGAGAAGCAAUAAAAGAAAGGCAAAUUGUCCCUGAGCAGGGGAAGGCCUGAAAUUGCCCAAAGUUUAUUCAUUCCAAUCCAGGGCGUACCUAGUGAGUCGUGUGUGCUGUUUGUAUUGGAUGCUUCAUUGGUGUUAAAUAAACGUGCAUGUCUUAAAGACUUGCCAUGGAAGGUGGUGUUUCAGGGCUUGAUAAAUUUAAGCUACAUUCAACAUAUUGUUCAAACUAACCUUAAAUGAGAAUCAAUGAUGAUUACAUACCAAGCAAGAGCUAUGCUAGGCUCUGACAUAACAAGACCUGGCCUGAGGAUGGUUCAGUCAGGAAAACACUUGCCUUGCGAUUGGAAGAACUGAGUUCCAGUCCCCAGAAUCCAAGUAAAAAUUGCUAGGCAUAGUGGUGUGCAUAUAACACCAACGCUGAGAAAGCAGAGACAGAAGAGCCCGCUGUGCUAGCUGGCCAGCCGAUCUAGCCUAAUUGGUAGUAGCUGGAGGCCAGGGAGAGACCUCAUCUCAGAAAAAGUGGACAGCCUUUCCAAGGAUGACACUUGAAUUUGUCCUCAGACUUUCAGGUGUACCCUGUACACACAUGCACAUACAUUC